rnacentral:rRNA from 1 species
AUUGAACGCUGGCGGCAGGCCUAACACAUGCAAGUCGAACGGCAGCAGGGUGCUAGCUCCUUCCUUCUGGUGCCGACGGGUGUAUGAGUCCUGGAAAUCUCCCUUUUUGUGGUGUAUUAGGUCCGAACAUGGGCACUCAUACCCUAUAAGUCCUGAGGGAGAACGGGGGAGAGCUUGGGAUCUCACGCUCUCAGCUGAUCGUAGGUCGGAUUAGCUAGUUGGUGGGGUAAAGGCCUACCAAGGCGACGAUCCGUAGCUGGUCUGAGAGGAUGAUCAGCCACACUGGAACUGAGACACGGUCCAGACUCCUACGGGAGGCAGCAGUGGGGAAUAUUGGACAAUGGGCGAAAGCCUGAUCCAGCAAUGCCGCGUGUGUGAAGAAGGUCUUCGGAUUGUAAAGCACUUUUAUUAGGGAAGAAAAGAAGUAGGUUAAUACCUGGCUGUUUUGACGGUACCAAAAGAAUAAGCACCGGCUAACUACGUG